rnacentral:lncRNA from 1 species
UUAAUAAUAAAUUUUAUUUAAAAAAAUGUAUGUAUUUUUUAUAAUUUUUUUCUUGCAUAAAAGUUUUUAAAAAUAAAUUUGAUAUUUUUUUUAGAAAACUCUAAUUAGAGAAUAGUAUUAUAUUUUUCAUAAAUUUUAAAUAAUAUAAAAUUAUAUUUGAGAGUAAAAUUAGUAUUAUGAUAUCCUAUAAUUUUUUAGUUUAUAUGAACAAAAUAAUAGAAUGGAAAUAACUCAUUCUAAUUUUCAAUUCAAAAUGAACCAAACGCCUUGGGGGAGUUGGUCAAUCCAAUUAUCAUUUCAAUUCAUUCGCAUUCCAUUAUCCAUUCCAAUUCCACCCUUGAACCAAACAAGCCCUAAGUGAAAUGUCAAUUUUGCCAUCAUAAAUAUGUCCCUCCAAAAGCCACAACAGCAUAAUAUAAGAGGGACAAAAAUAUCAUGUUAUCUCAUAAAUUAAUCAGAGUUAAGCACUAAUUUAACAUAUGGUUAAUUAAAUUUUUUUUAACAGAUUCUAACGAAAGAGACAUAUUUGAAAACAUUAGGAUUUUUGUAGGGACAACAUAUAAAAGUUGAAUUUUAUAUGAAUAUAUUUGCAAUUCACUAUAUUUGCAGGAACCUGUAUGAAAUUAACCCUUAUUUUAUUUAUUAAAUGAUGUAACAAGUAAAAAAAAUCACAUGUAUUAAAUUAAUGGGUACAGAUUAUAUAUUUCAAAAUAAAAAAGUCUAUUAUGUAACGCUUAUACUAUAUCAUCAAUAAUCAGUCAAUCACAUUUCUUUUUUUUUAAGAGAAAAAUAAAUUAAAAAUAUUUUUUUAAUAAUCAUGAUGGAAUGGAUGAAUUUAAAACAAUAAUCUAAGUGAUUGAAAAUGUUACAUUAAUAAUAUAACUAGUGCAUUCUAGAUUUUUUUUUUCUCAAAAGAGGGUCUCCAAUAAUAUACUUUUUGUCCUUUCCAAAUCUUUCUCCUUUUUUCCUCCAUGAGGGAUGUCAACGGGUUGGAUUCAGGGCGGGUUUUUAAAAAUCCAAACCCAAAGUCGACUAUCAAAUCCAAAAUCAGAAUCCGAACCUAAAUCCGACGGAUUUUAAAAAUUCAUAUCUAAAUCUGAACCGGACUAAAAAUUCGAAACCUGAAUUUGAACCCGCAAACCCAAACCCCAAACCCCAAACAAUUAUAUUAUAAUAAUAUAAAAUCAAUUCGUACUCGUAUCGGGUUCGAAUUCUGAUAGGAUAUAGUCAAAAUCUAUAUUCAAAUUCAAAUCCAUCAAAUUUUGGUUUUUGAUAUCUAUAUUCAAAACU